AUACCUUUCUCGGCCUUUUGGCUAAGAUCAAGUGUAGUAUCUGUUCUUAUCAGUUUAAUAUCUGGUACGUGGGACAUGUGCCCACAAUGAUAUUAAAUUUAUUUUUUAUGGGGGAGGAUCCGCUAUGAUAGCUUGCUAUCUGGGUCCUCAUGUGUCGCUUAGCGUUACACUGUUGCUUGAGCCUGGCACACCCCAA
rnacentral:snRNA from 1 species